rnacentral:rRNA from 1 species
CGAAGGGGCUAGCGUUGUUCGGAAUCACUGGGCGUAAAGGGCGCGUAGGCGGCUUUGUAAGUCGGGGGUGAAGACCUGUGGCUCAACCACAGAAUUGUCCUUCGAUACUGCAUGGCUUGAGACCGGAAGGAGGUUAGUGGAACUGCGAGUGUAGAGGUGAAUUCGUAGAUAUUCGCAAGAACACCAGUGGCGAAGGCGGCUGACUGGUCCGGAUCUGACGCUGAGGCGCGAAAGCGUGGGGGAGGCAAACAGGAUU